rnacentral:rRNA from 1 species
UAGGGAAUUUUGCGCAAUGGGCGAAAGCCUGACGCAGCAACACCGCGUGCGGGAUGAAGGCCUUCGGGUUGUAAACCGCUGUCAGCAGGGAAUAAAUUGACUGUACCUGCAGAGGAAGCACCGGCUAACUACGUGCCAGCAGCCGCGGUAAGACGUAGGGUGCAAGCGUUGUCCGGAUUUAUUGGGCGUAAAGAGUUCGUAGGCGGUUACCUAAGUCUGGUGUUAAAGCCCGGAGCUCAACUCCGGCAUGGCAUUGGAAACUGGGUGGCUAGAGUAUGGUAGAGGUUACGGGAAUUCCUGGUGUAGCGGUGAAAUGCGUAGAUAUCAGGAGGAACACCUGUGGCGAAAGCGCGUGACUGGACCAUAACUGACGCUGAGGAACGAAAGCCAGGGUAGCAAAAAG